rnacentral:rRNA from 1 species
GUGCCAGCAGCCGCGGUAAUACGAAGGGGGCUAGCGUUGCUCGGAAUUACUGGGCGUAAAGGGAGCGUAGGCGGAUAGUUUAGUCAGAGGUGAAAGCCCAGGGCUCAACCUUGGAAUUGCCUUUGAUACUGGCUAUCUUGAGUACGGAAGAGGUAUGUGGAACUCCGAGUGUAGAGGUGAAAUUCGUAGAUAUUCGGAAGAACACCAGUGGCGAAGGCGACAUACUGGUCCGUUACUGACGCUGAGGCUCGAAAGCGUGGGGAGCAAACAGGAUUAGAAACCCCCGUAGUCC